rnacentral:rRNA from 1 species
CCAGACUCCUACGGGAGGCAGCAGUGGGGAAUAUUGGGCAAUGGGCGCAAGCCUGACCCAGCAACGCCGCGUGAAGGAAGAAGGCUUUCGGGUUGUAAACUUCUUUUCUCAGGGACGAAGAAAGUGACGGUACCUGCAAAGGAAGCACCGGCUAACUCCGUGCCAGCAGCCGCGGUAAUACGUAGGUGGCAAGCGUUGUCCGGAUUUACUGGGUGUAAAGGGCGUGCAGCCGGAGAGACAAGUCAGAUGUGAAAUCCACGGGCUCAACCCGUGAACUGCAUUUGAAACUGUUUCCCUUGAGUGUCGGAGAGGUAAUCGGAAUUCCUUGUGUAGCGGUGAAAUGCGUAGAUAUAAGGAGGAACACCAGUGGCGAAGGCGGCUUACUGGACUGUAACUGACGUUGAGGCUCGAAAGCGUGGGGAGCAAACAGGAUUAGAUACCCUAGUA